rnacentral:lncRNA from 1 species
CUCUUAUAGUAGAAGAGCAUGUCUCUGUUAAUUAAUUGAUAGCAAAGGCAGAGAGAGCCAAAUGCAAGAUCGAACUGUAAUUAUUUUAAAGAGUGAAAGCUUGUGUUUAUCAAAGGGGGCAGAUCUAAAAUUUAAGAAGACCAGAGGGAGUGCUUUCAGGUAAGCCAGCCUUCCUUCUGAGACCGAUGGAACAGAUGCCAUCUUCUCAUGUAAGUGCCCUGCUGGUACCCAGGGGGAGAGACUCCCUCAGACCUCCUUAAGAGGCAGACCUAGGAAAACCCAGUGAAGACCC